UACGGAAGGUCCGGGCGUUAUCCGGAUUUAUUGGGUUAAAGGGAGCGCAGGCGGAAGGUUAAGCGUGACGUGAAAUGUUCCUGCUCAACCGGUGAGUUGCGUCGCGAACUGGCUUUCUUGAGUGAGUACGACGGAGGCGGAAUUCGUGGUGUAGCGGUGAAAUGCUUAGAUAUCACGAAGAACGCCGAUUGCGAAGGCAGCCUCCGAGUCCUUAACUGACGCUAAUGCUCGAAAGUGCGGGUAUCGAACA
rnacentral:rRNA from 1 species